GCUGCUGUAGCUCAACUGAAUAGAGCAGGGGCCUUCGAAGCCCAGGGUUGCGGGUUUGAAUCCUGCCAGCAGCGCCA
rnacentral:tRNA from 1 species